rnacentral:rRNA from 1 species
CCUACGGGUGGCUGCAGUAGGGAAUAUUGGACAAUGGGCGCAAGCCUGAUCCAGCCAUGCCGCGUGAGUGAAGAAGGCCCUCGGGUUGUAAAGCUCUUUUGUCCGGAAAGAAAAGCAAUCGGUUAAUACCCGGUUGUUCUGACGGUACCGUAAGAAUAAGCACCGGCUAACUUCGUGCCAGCAGCCGCGGUAAUACGAAGGGUACAUGCGUUACUCGGAGUUACUGGGCGUAAAUCGUGAAGUGGUGGGUGAAAGCCCUGGGCGCAACCUGGGAAUGGCAUUGGAUACUGGAGGGCUAGAGUGCGGUAGAGGGUAGUGGAAUUCCCGGUGUAGCAGUGAAAUGCGUAGAGAUCGGGAGGAACAUCUGUGGCGAAGGCGACUGCCUGGACCAGCACUGACACUGAGGCACGAAAGCGUGGGGAGCAAACAGGAUUAGAUACCCCUGUAGUC